UACAGAGGUCUCGAGCGUUAGGCGGAAUCACUGGGCUUAAAGCGUGUGUAGGCGGAUUGCUAAGUACCUUGUGAAAUCCCACGGCUUAACCGUGGAACUGCUUGGUAUACUGGCUGUCUUGAGCCACUUAGGGGCAACCGGAACAAACGGUGGAGCGGUGAAAUGCGUAGAUAUCGGGAGGAACACCAGUGGCGAAGGCGGCUACCUGGCCUGUAACUGACGCUGAGACGCGAAAGCGUGGGGAGCGAACCGG
rnacentral:rRNA from 1 species